rnacentral:ncRNA from 21 species
CCAAUUUCGCGAGGGAAGCUGCCGAGCGAAACAAGGUGGCCGCAUAUGUUGCGAGCCAGAUAGGGCAGACCGCGCAGGUCCGUGCAGACCACGGCAUGUCGCAUCGCGUUGCUCGACGUGCAGCCGUCAGGCCGUCGGGCCCGCCGCCCGAAGGCGCCCGUGUGCGCAUGAAAAAAGGCCUUCAUCUGGCGAUGAAGGCCUUUUACU